CCUACGGGGGGCAGCAGUGAGGAAUAUUGGUCAAUGGGCGGGAGCCUGAACCAGCCAAGCCGCGUGAAGGAAGAAGGCGCCAAGCGUCGUAAACUUCUUUUGUCGGGGAACAAAGGGCGCCACGUGUGGCGUUGUGAGUGUACCCGAAGAAAAAGCAUCGGCUAACUCCGUGCCAGCAGCCGCGGUAAUACGGAGGAUGCGAGCGUUAUCCGGAUUUAUUGGGUUUAACGGGUGCGUAGGCGGUCCGGAAAGUCAGCGGGAAAAGCCCGGGGCGCAACCCCGGCGAGCCGUUGAAACUGUCGGACUAGAGACGGCGAGAGGUACGCGGAAUGCGCGGUGUAGCGGUGAAAUGCAUAGAUAUCAGGAGGAAUACCGUUAGCGAAGGCGGCAAUCUGGCUGGAAACUGACGCUGAGGUGCGAAAGCGUGGGUAGCAAACAGGAUUAGAUACCCUAGUAGUC
rnacentral:rRNA from 1 species